rnacentral:rRNA from 1 species
AUUGAACGCUGGCGGCAUGCCUUACACAUGCAAGUCGGACGAGUGGCGAACGGGUGAGUAAUGUAUCGGAACCUGCCGAGUCAAGGGGGAUAACUGUUGGAAAGGAUAGCUAAUACCGCAUACUAUCCGAGCGGCCGAUGUGUGAUUAGCUGGUAGGUGGGGUAAAGGCCCACCUAGGCGACGAUCAAUAGCGGGUCUGAGAGGAUGAUCAGCCACACUGGGACUGAGACACGGCCCAGACUCCUACGGUAGGCAGCAGUGGGGAAUAUUGGACAAUGGGCGCAAGCCUGAUGCAGCCAUGCCGCGUGUAUGAAGAAGGCCUUCGGGUUGUAAAGUACUUUUAGCAGGGAGGCGUUACCUGCAGAAUAAGCACCGGCUAACUCCGUGCCAGCAGCCGCGGUAAUUC